UUGGCUAAUCUUGCUUAAUACGCAAGUUAGAGCUUCUAACGGUCGAGUUUCCCUCCAUUCUUGCUCCACCUGUCACGCGGUAAAGGGAGAGAAGGUUUUCGAUAGUAUCUCGGUGGAUCCACUUUCCUUUUCCUUCCUCGCAUUUGAACUCUUCCCAUCCGAGCCGUCCCUAAACAGCAACGUCUCUCUCUCCGUGUUCUCUGCCACACGCCCCCUCUCUACCUUCUCUCUCAGUGUUCUCUCUCUAACCUUCUGUCUCCUCUCUCUCGUCUAAGGACGCUAGUGCUCCUCGAGCGGGAACUCCCUUGGAGAACCUCAUUGAAGGCUCACUUGCCAAAGCUGGCAUUCUCGAUAUUUCCAGCAUUUUCACAAAACAACAAAAUCGGGCGAAUCCCUGAAUACCCUACCAACGUUUCCCAAUCCUUGCCUUCAGAUCUCGAUUGCUGGCUUCUGGAUUAGAGCAUGUGGGUAGAGAUAGGGUCUGGAAAACCGGCGGUAUCUCCGUUGUUGAUGUUUGUGGCUCCAUCUCAGCAUGCCGUCAUCGAUGUGUCAGUUUCAGGUGUGCACAGCUAAGAUGAACUUGGGUGAUGAGGUUGACUUGGAAGACUGUUUCUCGAUCGAAUAAAAUUAGUGCUGCAGAGGUUGCAAAUGGUAUUGCACUACAAGAGCUUUAUCCAAGCAAGUGGAAGAUGCCAACUUCCAAAUAGCUAGGUAUUUUAUUUAUUUAUUUAUUUAGAUUUUCUAAGCUUCUAGAAGCAGGCUAAUUUUGGUCCUUGAUGUUUUCAUAGAAUUAGACGGUCAUGAUCUAUCCAUGCUAGUUGGCAGGGUCUUGGUCUUGAUUCUCAAAAUUUACUCUCACCCAUUUGCUGCAAUUGUUGUUGCUGUGAAUGGCUAGAUGUUUAUUUGGUUUUUGGCUGCUGCAGAUUUGCUGAGUUUUGAGAGUUAAUACACGAGAAGAUCAGUGUAUGCUCCCAAAGUAUCAUCUUUCUUUUCUAGGGCAACUUUCAUAUUUUAAGUUCUUCAGUUUCAGGGCGUGACUUUCUGUAUAGGCCUUAUCCAAGAAAAUCCUUCCAAAUAAGUAGUGAUUGACAUGCUUUAGGGAAGUUCAUGGAGCCAACAACUUGUGGGACAUGAUGAUUUAUUGAUAUUAUGUAUUAGGGUAUCCCUGUUCUGGAGUAGCUCUUUGCGGAUCAUUCAACAAAGUAUUAUGGUUUAAGAAAAUUUCCAUGCCAUGCAUGUCUACUUUGUUUCUUUCUUGGUUUCAGAGAAUUUGAUUGUCAAGAUCUACUCUUUUCUAUUUUUUAUUUUUAUUUCUAAGGUUCUAGAGAAGUAGGUGGUCAUAAUCUAUCAGAUGCUGGAUUGGUGGAUUGUUUGUCUAAAUUCUCAACUUUCAUUCUCCUUCCAUUUUCUGCAAUUAUUGUGAUUAGUUGGAUGUUUAUUUGGGUCUCUUGCAAAUACAGACAUGCUGAAUUUUUAGGAGUUCGGAAUUGAGAAAUUCGGUGUUGGCUCAUCAUUCUCAUAUUCAUGUAUUAGGAUAUCCCUGUGCUGGAGUUGCUUUUUGUGGAUCAUUCAACGAAGUAUUAUGGUUUAACAAAAGUAUAGUGCCAUGUAUGUCUACUUUCUUCCUUUCUUGGUUUCAGAGAAAUAGAUGGUCAAGAUCUACUCUUUUUUUGUUUUUCAUUUUCUAAGGUUCUAGAGAAGUAGGUGGUGGUCAUAAUCAAUCAAAUGCUAGAUUGACAGAUUGUUUCUAUAGAUUUUCAACUUUCAUUCUCCUUCCAUUUGCUUCAAUUAUUGUGAUUAGCUCGAUAUUUGUUUGGGUCUCUUUCUGAUACAGACAUGCUGAGCUUUUAGGAGUUUAGAAUUGAGAAAUCCAGUGUUGGCUCUUGAAGUAUCAUUCUCAUAUUCAUGUAAUAAGGUAUUCCUGUAUUGGAGUUGCUCUGUGGAUCAUUCAACAAACA